rnacentral:rRNA from 1 species
AGUGAACGCUGGCGGUAGGCCUAACACAUGCAAGUCGAACGGCAGCACAGUAAGAGCUUGCUCUUACGGGUGGCGAGUGGCGGACGGGUGAGGAAUACAUCGGAAUCUACUUUUUCGUGGGGGAUAACGUAGGGAAACUUACGCUAAUACCGCAUACGACCUACGGGUGAAAGCAGGGGAUCUUCGGACCUUGCGCGAUUGAAUGAGCCGAUGUCGGAUUAGCUGGUUGGCGGGGUAAAGGCCCACCAAGGCGACGAUCCGUAGCUGGUCUGAGAGGAUGAUCAGCCACACUGGAACUGAGACACGGUCCAGACUCCUACGAGAGGCAGCAGUGGGGAAUAUUGGACAAUGGGCGCAAGCCUGAUCCAGCCAUACCGCGUGGGUGAAGAAGGCCUUCGGGUUGUAAAGCCCUUUUGUUGGGAAAGAAAAGCAGCAGGUUAAUACCCCGCUGUUCUGACGGUACCCAAAGAAUAAGCACCGGCUAACUUCGUG